rnacentral:rRNA from 1 species
ACGGGGGUACUCGAGUGGCGAACGGGUGAGUAACACGUGGGCAAUCUGCCCUGCACUUCGGGAUAAGCCUGGGAAACUGGGUCUAAUACCGGAUAGGACCUUUAGGCGCAUGUCUUUAGGUGGAAAGCUUUUGCGGUGUGGGAUGGGCCCGCGGCCUAUCAGCUUGUUGGUGGGGUGAUGGCCUACCAAGGCGACGACGGGUAGCCGGCCUGAGAGGGUGUCCGGCCACACUGGGACUGAGAUACGGCCCAGACUCCUACGGGAGGCAGCAGUGGGGAAUAUUGCACAAUGGGCGCAAGCCUGAUGCAGCGACGCCGCGUGGGGGAUGACGGCCUUCGGGUUGUAAACCUCUUUCACCAUCGACGAAGGUUCGGGUUUUCUCGGAUUGACGGUAGGUGGAGAAGAAGCACCGGCCAACUACGUGCCAGCAGCCGCGGUAAUACGUAGGGUGCGAGCGUUGUCCGGAAUUACUGGGCGUAAAGAGCUCGUAGGUGGUUUGUCGCGUUGUUCGUGAAAUCUCACGGCUUAACUGUGAGCGUGCGGGCGAUACGGGCAGACUAGAGUACUGCAGGGGAGACUGGAAUUCCUGGUGUAGCGGUGGAAUGCGCAGAUAUCAGGAGGAACACCGGUGGCGAAGGCGGGUCUCUGGGCAGUAACUGACGCUGAGGAGCGAAAGCGUGGGGAGCGAACAGGAUUAGAUACCCUGGUAGUCCACGCCGUAAACGGUGGGUACUAGGUGUGGGUUUCCUUCCUUGGGAUCCGUGCCGUAGCUAACGCAUUAAGUACCCCGCCUGGGGAGUACGGCCGCAAGGCUAAAACUCAAAGGAAUUGACGGGGGCCCGCACAAGCGGCGGAGCAUGUGGAUUAAUUCGAUGCAACGCGAAGAACCUUACCUGGGUUUGACAUGCACAGGACGCGUCUAGAGAUAGGCGUUCCCUUGUGGCCUGUGUGCAGGUGGUGCAUGGCUGUCGUCAGCUCGUGUCGUGAGAUGUUGGGUUAAGUCCCGCAACGAGCGCAACCCUUGUCUCAUGUUGCCAGCGGGUAAUGCCGGGGACUCGUGAGAGACUGCCGGGGUCAACUCGGAGGAAGGUGGGGAUGACGUCAAGUCAUCAUGCCCCUUAUGUCCAGGGCUUCACACAUGCUACAAUGGCCGGUACAAAGGGCUGCGAUGCCGCAAGGUUAAGCGAAUCCUUUUAAAGCCGGUCUCAGUUCGGAUUGGGGUCUGCAACUCGACCCCAUGAAGUCGGAGUCGCUAGUAAUCGCAGAUCAGCAACGCUGCGGUGAAUACGUUCCCGGGCCUUGUACACACCGCCCGUCACGUCAUGAAAGUCGGUAACACCCGAAGC